CCUACGGGAGGCAGCAGUGGGGAAUUUUGGACAAUGGGCGCAAGCCUGAUCCAGCAAUGCCGCGUGAGUGAAGAAGGCCUUCGGGUUGUAAAGCUCUUUUGUCAGGGAAGAAACGGUGGAGGCUAAUAUCCUUUGCUAAUGACGGUACCUGAAGAAUAAGCACCGGCUAACUACGUGCCAGCAGCCGCGGUAAUACGUAGGGUGCAAGCGUUAAUCGGAAUUACUGGGCGUAAAGCGUGCGCAGGCGGUUUUGUAAGUUUGUCGUGAAAUCCCCGGGCUCAACCUGGGAAUGGCGAUGAAGACUGCAAGGCUAGAAUCUGGCAGAGGGGGGUAGAAUUCCACGUGUAGCAGUGAAAUGCGUAGAGAUGUGGAGGAACACCGAUGGCGAAGGCAGCCCCCUGGGUCAAGAUUGACGCUCAUGCACGAAAGCGUGGGGAGCAAACAGGAUUAGAUACCCUGGUAGUCCACGCCCUAAACGAUGUCUACUAGUUGUCGGGUUUUAAUUAACUUGGUAACGCAGCUAACGCGUGAAGUAGACCGCCUGGGGAGUACGGUCGCAAGAUUAAAAACUCAAAAGUAUAGUACGGACGUGAGACGUGCGACGAGACACACGGAGGUUAGAGG
rnacentral:rRNA from 1 species